rnacentral:rRNA from 1 species
GACGAACGCUGGCGGCGUGCCUAAUACAUGCAAGUCGAGCGGAUCUGAAGGAGUGCUUGCACUCCUGACGGUUAGCGGCGGACGGGUGAGUAACACGUAGGUAACCUGCCCGUAAGACCGGGAUAACAUUCGGAAACGAAUGCUAAUACCGGAUACGCAAUUCUCUCGCAUGAGGGGAUUGGGAAAGGCGGAGCAAUCUGUCACUUACGGAUGGACCUGCGGCGCAUUAGCUAGUUGGUGAGGUAACGGCUCACCAAGGCGACGAUGCGUAGCCGACCUGAGAGGGUGAUCGGCCACACUGGGACUGAGACACGGCCCAGACUCCUACGGGAGGCAGCAGUAGGGAAUCUUCCGCAAUGGGCGAAAGCCUGACGGAGCAACGCCGCGUGAGUGAUGAAGGUUUUCGGAUCGUAAAGCUCUGUUGCCAGGGAAGAACGCUUGGGAGAGUAACUGCUCUCAAGGUGACGGUACCUGAGAAGAAAGCCCCGGCUAACUACGUGCCAGCAGCCGCCGUAAAAC